rnacentral:rRNA from 1 species
AGGGUUUGAUUAUGGCUCAGGAUGAACGCUGGCGGCAUGCUUUACACAUGCAAGUUGAACGAAUUAAAGUUUUCGAAUUUUAGUUAAGUAGCGAACGGGUGAGUAAAACGUAAGAAUCUAUUUUUAGGUGAGGAAUAACUAUGGAAACGUUAGCUAAUACCUUAUAAACUGAGAAGUGAAAAACUAAAAAUUGCCUAAAAGUGAGCUUGCGCCUGAUUAGCUUGUUGGUAAGAUAAUCGCUUACCAAAGCGACGAUCACCGUAGUGGUGAUCUAAGAGGAUAAUCAACCACACUGGGACUGAGAUACGGCCCUGACCUCUACCGGGGACAGCAGUGAGGAAUUUUCCGCAAUGGGCGAAAGCCUGACGGAGCAAUGCCGCCUGGAAGAAUGAAGGCCUAUGGGUCGUAAACUUCUUUUCUUAAUGGAAGAGAUUAAGACCGGUAAUUAAGGAAUAAGGCAUCGGCUAACUUCCGUGCCAGCAGCCGGCGGUAAUACGGAGGAUUGCGAAGCGUUAUCCGGAAUUAUUGAGCCGUAAAGGGUUUGUAGGCUACUUUUUUAAGUCUACUGUUAAAGGAAUAAGACUUAACCUUUAGAAAAGCAGUAUAAAACUAAAAGGAUAGAGUUCAGUAGGGGUAGGGGGAAUUCUCGGUGUAGUAGUGAAAUGCGUAGAUAUCGAGAGGAACACCAAUAGCGAAAGCACUCUACUAGGCUGUAACUGACGCCAAGAAACGAAAGCUAGGAGAGCCAAUGGGAUUAGAUACCCCAGUAGUCCCUAGCUGUAAACGAUGGAUACUAAGUAUUGGAUAAUAAAAAAUUCAGUGCUGUAGCUAGCGCGUUAAGUAUCCCGCCUGGGGAGUAUGCCCGCAAGGGUGAAACUUCAAAGGAAUUGACGGGGGGCCCGCACAAGCGGGUGGAGCAUGUGGUUUAAUUCGGUGCAACGCGAAAAAACUUACCAGGAUUUGACAUCCCAUAUUUUUUUUCUAGAAAUAGAAAAAUUGACCUGGAGACAGGUGGGGGCAUGGCCGUUCGUCAGCUCCUGUCGCCGAGAAGUUGGGUUAAGUCCCGUAACGAGCGCAACCCUUGUCUUUAGUUCGAUAGUCUAAAGAAACUGCCGAUAAUAAAUCGGAGGAAGGUGAGGAUGACGUCAAGUCAGCAUGCCCCUUAUAUUCUGGGCGACACACGUGCUACAAUGGUUAAGACAAUGGGAUGCAAACUUGUAAAAGGAGGCUAACCUCAAAAACUUAAUCGAAGUUCGGAUUGUCGACUGAAACUCGUCGACAUGAAGCUGGAAUCGCUAGUAAUCGCCGGUCAGCCACACGGCGGUGAAUACGUUCUCGGGCCUUGUACACACCGCCCGUCACGUUAGGGAAGCUGAUUACGCCCGAAGUCAUUAAUUUAACCUUUUGGAGAAAAAUGCCGAAGGCAGAGUGAGUAACUAGGACGAAGUCGUAACAAGGUAGCC